ACAUUGGAACUGAGACACGGUCCAAACUUCUACGGAAGGCAGCAGUAAGGAAUCUUGCACAAUGGGGGAAACCCUGACGCAGCAACGCCGCGUGAACGAUGAAGGCCUUCGGGUUGUAAAGUUCUGAUCUUAGGGAAGAAGAAAGUGACGGUACCUAAGGAGAAAGCCCCGGCUAACUACGUGCCAGCAGCCGCGGUAAUACGUAGGGGGCAAGCGUUAUCCGGAAUUAUUGGGCGUAAAGCGUGCGUAGGUGGUUACCUAAGCGCAAGGUUUAAUCUUGAGGCUCAACCUCAUUCUGCCUUGCGAACUGGGCUACUUGAGUGCAGGAGGGGAAAGCGGAAUUCCUAGUGUAGCGGUGAAAUGCGUAGAUAUUAGGAAGAACACCAGAGGCGAAGGCGGCUUUCUGGACUGUAACUGACACUGAGGCACGAAAGCGUGGGGAGCAAACAGGAUUAGAUACCCUUGGUAGUCCACGCCCGUAAAACGAUGGAGCACUAGUUGUUUGGGUCCGAAUGGAUUCAGUGGGACGCAGUUAACGCAAUAAGUGCUCCGCCUGGGGGAGUACGUUUCGCAAGAAUAAAACUCAAAGGAAUUGUACGGGGACCCGCACAAGCAGCGGAGCAUGUGGUUUAAUUCGAAGCAACGCGAAAAACCUUACCAGGGCUUGACAUCCCUCUGACAGGACCUUAACCGGUCCCUCCUUCGGGCAGAGGUGACAGGUGGUGCAUGGUUGUCGUCAGCUCGUGUCGUGAGAUGUUGGGUUAAGUCCCGCAACGAGCGCAACCCUUGUUUUCAGUUACUAACAUUCAGUUGAGGACUCUGAAGAGACUGCCGAGGUUAACUCGGAGGAAGGUGGGGAUGACGUCAAAUCAUCAUGCCCCUUAUGUUCUGGGCUACACACGUGCUACAAUGGUCGGUACAAUGAGAAGCAAAACGGCGACGUGGAGCAAAUCACCAAAACCGAUCCCAGUUCGGAUUGCAGGCUGCAACUCGCCUGCAUGAAGUCGGAGUUGCUAGUAAUCGCGAAUCAGCAUGUCGCGGUGAAUGCGUUCCCGGGUCUUGUACACACCGCCCGUCACACCAUGGAAGUUGGGGGUGCCCAAAGUUGGCAAAUUAAUCAUGUUACCGUAAGCAAAACCAAGUACUGG
rnacentral:rRNA from 1 species